GUGCCCAUGAGAUCAAAGUCAUCUGCUAGCAGUGGAAAGAAACUAACUUUGACUUCUAUGGUUCAUGAGAACUAACUGUGAUUUCUAGUAUCCGGGAUCAAACUCAGGACCUUGUGCUUGCAAGUUUGCCAAACAAGAUGAUGCACAGCUCACAGAGUACUGGGAAUCAAACUCGGGAUCUUGCACUUGCGAGGCAGGCGGCGGAACCACUGAGCUAAAUCCCCGGCCCAUGGCCAGCUAUGUUUUAGAAUAACUCAGAAUGAUGCCCACCCAGGGCAGGUACUCAAAUAUUGGCUGUCAUCCAGUUCCUCACCAGAGAGCUGCGGGUCUCCAAGUGCCUUCCACACGCCUAGG
rnacentral:lncRNA from 1 species